rnacentral:rRNA from 1 species
CGGGUGAGUAACGCGUAGGUAAUCUACCCUUAUGACUGGGAUAACAUUGGGAAACUGGUGCUAAUACCGGAUACACUUCUAUACUGCGGGGUAAAGGAGGAAAGGUGGCCUCUUCAUGAAAGCUACCGUAUAGGGAUGAGCCUGCGUACCAUUAGCUAGUAGGCGGGGUAACGGCCCACCUAGGCAACGAUGGUUAGCGGGUCUGAGAGGAUGAUCCGCCACACUGGAACUGGAACACGGACCAG